UCCUUGGUAUUCCGAGGAGCAUGCCUGUUUGAGUGUCAU
rnacentral:rRNA from 1 species